UCCAGUCGGCUCUUCUCGGCUUCUCUCAGCAGACUGUCAUGGCGGCUCCCUGUCGCAGCUUAAAGUCACGGUGUCAGGUUGUUUCCAGGUGAAGGUGAGCAACAGAGAAAACGUCCACCUUCAGGUAUGAAUGUGAUGUCAUCAGUGAUGGGCGGGGCACGGCGACUUGUCUGCUCAGAGGUCAGAUGUGAGCUCCUUGGGACCCUGCUGUCUGUACCCCGAAGUUCCACCCCCCUACUCAUCCGUCAACAGAGACAUGCCUCUAAACAGGUCAAAGGUCAGAGGAAGGAGCCAAAGAUCCAGAAGGUCAAAGUGAAAGUGGACAAACAGGAAGUAGAAAUCAGACAGAGGAUGACGGCAGCGGCUCUUGCUCAGGCCAUGAACAAAGACUUUGAUCACGUGGUGGAGGCGCUGCUGAACACGACGCUGGACGUGGACUCUCUGGAGCCAGACUCAGUUCUUGAGGAGCGGUGGAUCAAAGAGGUGGUGUCCCGGUCUGGGAUGAAGUUCAGGUGGGCUAGAGUGAACGAGAGCCGAGAGCGAGAGAACCGGGAUGCCGUCAGGAGACCCUCAGCGGACCCAUCCUGCCUGGAGCCCCGACCCCCUGUGGUGACCAUCAUGGGUCAUGUGGACCACGGGAAGACCACCAUGUUGGACAGUCUGAGGAAAAGCCAGAUUGUGUCCACAGAGGCCGGUGGUAUCACACAGCACAUUGGUGCUUUUUUAGUUCAGUUGCCAACGGGUGAGAAGAUCACCUUCCUGGACACCCCAGGUCACGCUGCCUUCUCCUCCAUGAGAGCCCGCGGAGCCAACGCCACUGACAUCGUCAUCCUUGUGGUGGCAGCGGACGAUGGCGUCAUGAACCAGACAGUGGAAUCCAUCCAACACGCCAAGAAAGCAAAAGUUCCCAUCAUUGUGGCGGUGAAUAAGUGUGAUAAACCUCAGGCCAACCCUCAGAGAGUCAAACAGGAGCUCCUCACCCACAACGUCGUCUGCGAGGAGUUUGGUGGUGAUGUCCAGGCCAUCCACGUCUCUGCCCUUAAGGGUGAUAACCUGCUGGCUCUGGCUGAGGCCACAGUGGCAUUGGCAGAGGUUUUGGAGCUGAAGGCGGAGCCUCACGGUGCUAUGGAGGGACUCAUCAUUGAAAGUCGCACUGAUAAAGGCAAAGGGCCUGUUACGACAGCAGUUGUCCAACGGGGGACUCUGCGACGUGGAUGCAUCCUGGUAGCAGGAAAGAGCUGGGCCAAGGUCCGCUUCCUGUUUGAUGAGAAUGGCCGAGCAGUGACAGAGGCAGGGCCAAGUGUUGCAGUGGAGGUGGUUGGCUGGAAAGAGCUGCCGUCUGCUGGAGAAACCAUCCUAGAGGUGGAGUCUGAGCAGCGUGCAAGGGAGGUGGUGGAGUGGAGGAGAUAUGAGGAGGAGCAGCAGAAGCUGAAGGAGGAGCAGAGUGCCAUUGAGGCCAAGCAGCAGCUCCACCUGCAGGAGUACCGCCGCGAGAGAGCAGAGCUUGAACACCUGAGCUGGAGACAGAGGAAGUCUGCUCUUUACCGAGCCAACAAGACCAAGUUCGCCUUGAGAGCCAGUGAGAGGUAUCAGAGAGACGAGUUGAUUCUGCCAGUCAUCAUCAAAGGUGACGUGGAUGGUUCGGUGGAGACCAUACUCAACAUCCUGGACAGUUACGAUGCUCAGCAUCAGUGUCAGAUGGAGGUCAUUCACUUUGGUGUCGGCGAUAUUUCAGAGAACGACAUCAACAUGGCAGAAAUGUUUGCAGGUUCCAUCUAUGGCUUUAAUGUCGGUGUCACUAAAUCAAUACAGCAGCUGGCGGUGAAGAAAGGCGUCCCUGUGAAAAUGAACUCCAUCAUCUACAAGCUCAUCGAUGACCUGAAAGACGAGCUCAACAGCAAACUGCCACCACUCGUCACCGAGAACAUCAUGGGUGAAGCCACUGUCGUUGCCAUGUUUGAUGUCACAGUGGGGAAGAAGAAGGUGGUGGUUGCCGGCUGCCGGGUCCAGAAAGGACAGCUGGACCGACGCCUCCAGUUCAGACUGAUCCGAGGCAGGGACACCAUCUGGGAGGGAGCCUUGGUGGCGCUGAAGCAUCACAAAGACGAUGUUCAGACGGUGAAGACGGGGGUGGAGUGUGGUUUGUCGGUGGAUGGAGAUGUCGAUUUCAGAGCAGGAGAUGUGGUCGUGUGCUUUGAAGAGGUGGAUGCUCCACAGGUCACGACCUGGGACCCUGGAUUUUGACUCCCAUCAUCCUCUGCUGCUGCAUGACGAGUAUACUGACUGACUAUAAAGACAAUAAAAACAAGUGAUGCAUGGGCCAAACAUCAGCAAGGGGCGGAGUUCCCCUCAUUGACGAAUUAUGUUUAUGCUUUAUUAAAAGAUACUGUGAUGAAUCUCAAACCUCACCUGUUUCUCAUUUAAAGACAAGUCUUAAAUCCAUUUAGUUCGACAUGUUUAAUAAAAGAUGGAGCAGAAACAGAAACACAUUUCACAUUUUUAAAGAAAUGAUAAUCAAUGAGAAGGCCCUUUUUAAUUGGUCAGAGCUCAGACUAAAACUAAAAACCAAAACUCACAAGGUUGAAAAACGUAAGAAUGCUUCCUGUUCACCAGCAGGUGAAGCCAGAACCACUAUGACCUUUGACCUCUUCACUUCCUCUUGGCCUUACUGGGCUUGGCGAGCAGCGCUGGGUCAAUCUGAUCUGCCUUCAUUCCUCUGAUAGCAAAAAGACGGGCAGCACGCUCCACCAACGUCCCGCCACACUUCAGCCCUCGAAGCAUCAGCUCCUCCUUCAGAAUGUCCAGACCCAGAGCCUCUAACUGCUCCACACUCUCCACCCCCUGCAGGUCCACAGGGGAGUGCUGUUCCCCCGCUGCUGCUUGGGGAUCCACAGGGGGACUCAAUUCCCUCGCUGCUGCCUGGGGGUCCACAGGGGGUUGCUGUUCCCCCACCGCUGUCUGGGGGUCCAAUGGGGGGCUCUGUUCCCCUGCUGCUGCCUGGGGGUCUACAGGGGGGCACUGCUGACAGGGAUGACAAAUACUUCAUGAAAACAGUGAUGUUCAGACCUGCUGUGAACUGGAACUGGCCUCUGCAGGUCUGGAUCUGGGUUCAGGACUCUGGUCUCUGGAGGAUCUGGGGGGUGAAGGUAAACUGAAAAGAUGACCAGAAUUUACCAGAAAUUAUUUUGUGAGAAGCAGAAACUAAAAGAUGUUUUUGAGGAGCUGCUGCAGAAUCUGGACUCUGUGGACCAUCUAGACCUAUGGAACUAUGUGGACUAAUGUGACCAGGAUCACCAGAACACUUCCAUUUGUCUGCAAGAUUCACAUCCUGUCUGGACUAAGACACUGACUGGCAAAUAAAAUUGAUAAAUUCACCAAUAAAUCACAGAUCUGUGUGAA